rnacentral:rRNA from 1 species
UACGUAGGUGGCAAGCGUUGUCCGGAUUUACUGGGCGUAAAGGGCGUGCAGGCGGUUUGUUAAGUCUAGGGUGAAAGCUCCCGGCUCAACUGGGAGAGGUCCUUGGAUACUGGCAGACUUGAGGAGGGUAGAGGAGAGUGGAAUUCCCGGUGUAGUGGUGAUAUGCGUAGAUAUCGGGAAGAACACCCGUGGCGAAGGCGGCUCUCUGGAACGGUACUGACGCUGAGACGCGAAAGCGUGGGGAGCGAACAGG